rnacentral:rRNA from 1 species
CCUACGGGAGGCAGCAGUGAGGAAUAUUGGUCAAUGGACGAGAGUCUGAACCAGCGAAGUAGCGUGAAGGAUGAAUGCCCUAUGGGUUGUAAACUCCUUUUAUAAAGGAGUAAAACGAGGUACGUGUGCAUUUUUGCAUGUACAUCAUGAAUCAGGAUCGGCUAACACCUGGCAAGCAGCCGCGGUAAUACGGAGGUGCCGAGCGUUAUCCGGAUUUAUUGGGUUUAACGGGUGCGUAGAUGGGUUGUUAAGUCAGAUGUGAAAGUUUGCGGCUCAACCCUAAAAUUGCAAUUGAUACUGGCAGGCUUGAGUACAGGUGAGGUAGGCGGAAUUCGUGGUGUAGCGGUGAAAUGCUUAGAUAUCACGAAGAACCCCGAUUGCGAAGGCAGCUUACUAAACUGUGACUGACAUUGAUGCUCGAAAGUGUGGGUAUCAAACAGGAUUAGAUACCCUGGUAGUC